rnacentral:rRNA from 1 species
UUUACGAUGGAGAGUUUGAUCCUGGCUCAGGAUGAACGCUAGCGGCAGGCCUAAUACAUGCAAGGCGAAGGGGCAGCAAUGUCACUGUCGUACGGGUGCGUAACGCGUAUGCAACCUAC